rnacentral:rRNA from 1 species
GAUAAACGCUGGCGGCGUGCUUAACACAUGCAAGUCGAACGAAGUUUUUCUUUCGGGAGGAACUUAGUGGCGGACGGGUGAGUAACGCGUGGGUAACCUGCCCUGUACAGGGGGACAACAGCUGGAAACGGCUGCUAAUACCGCAUAAGCCCUCAGCACUGCAUGGUGCAUAGGGAAAAGGAGCAAUCCGGUACAGGAUGGACCCGCGUCUGAUUAGCCAGUUGGCAGGGUAACGGCCUACCAAAGCGACGAUCAGUAGCCGAUCUGAGAGGAUGUACGGCCACAUUGGGACUGAGACACGGCCCAGACUCCUACGGGAGGCAGCAGUGGGGAAUAUUGCACAAUGGAGGAAACUCUGAUGCAGCGACGCCGCGUGAGUGAAGAAGUAUUUCGGUAUGUAAAGCUCUAUCAGCAGGAAAGAAAAUGACGGUACCUGACUAAGAAGCACCGGCUAAAUACGUG